rnacentral:rRNA from 1 species
GAUGAACGCUGGCGGCGUGCCUAAUACAUGCAAGUCGAGCGAACGGACGAGAAUCUUGCUUCUCUGAUGUUAGCGGCGGACGGGUGAGUACCACGUGGCUAACCUAUCUAUAAGACUGGGAUAACUUCGGGAAACCUGAGCUCAUACCGGAUGAUAUUUUGAACCGCAUGGUUCAUCAGUGAACGACGGUCUUGCUGUCACUUAUAGAUGUAUCCGCGCUGCAUUAGCUAGUUGGUAAGGUAACGGCUUACCAAGGCAACAAUGCAUAGCCGACCUGAGAGGGUGAUCGGACACACUGGAACUGAGACAAGGUCCAGACUCCUACGGGAGGCAGCAGUAGGGAAACUUCCGCAAUGGGCGAAAGCCUGACGGAGCAAAGCCGCGUGAGUGAUGAAGGUCUUCGGAUCGUAAAACUCUGUUAUUAGGGAAGAACAGAUGUGUAAGUAACUGUGCACAUCUUGACGGUACCUAAUCAGAAAGCCACGGCUAACUACGUG